AAGAACAAGACUUGGGAGGAGGUGGCUGCACGUGUGAACGCAGUCAGCCGAGUGGGUAGCUCUGAGGAAGUUUAAGGACCUACGGAGCCACGUGAAGAGCAAGGCUGCUGCAGAACAUCAUCAUGCUACAGGCACUAGUGGACUUAGCUCCAUGCAGGUGAAGGACCUCCAGAGGACACCACCUACACUGUUGUCCUACGGAUGCUGUCACUAACAGCAUUUGCAGAACUGCCAGUCCCUGACAGGGAGGGAGACACAUUAUGAGAGUCUGGCCCUCUGUGAGGACCAUAGCCAUCCACCCACCAGCAGUGGUGUUACAGUCAUCCAGCCCUCAUCUGCUGGUGUUGCUGGGGCCUCUGGAUUCAUUGGUGCUGUGGGUGCAUUAUGUGAAGUUUUAGCAGUGGGCAUUAGUUUCUGAACUCAUGCAUCUUACAGAUGACAUCACCCAUUGGUGAAUAACUGUUGCCACUCAUUCAUGUUAACAUGUAUUCAGUUUUGUUCUCCUGUACAUACCUAUGAACAUUGUAUGUACAUUUAGCAUAUGAGCCAUACUUUUCAAUGGUCUGUAUUACAGUUGAUUAAUAUGAUAAUUAAAUGCCUUAUUUGUGCAGUACAUUAUUAGUGGACAAUUUGUUUAACCCUCAUUUGUAUGCUGUUACUUCAGCUGCCCAGCAAAACUGCAGCAGAAGGCUACUUUGGCUUAUUUUUUGAGGAAUACAUCUCUCAGGUAUUUAAAAUACUGAUUCCAAAAGUGUAUCUUGACACCACCUUGGGUAUAGUGGAAAGGUCCAAGGAGCAAAUGAGGAAAAAGGACACAGCAGGAUAGCAAGACAUGUAACUUGACACACUGUCAAUCAUCACCGUCUGCUAUGUGUAGUGCUACUUCAUUUCAAAUACUAAAAGAUGAAGCAAAACCUGCCAUUUAGUACUGCUAAUUAACAGCUUCUAUAAAUAUUUCCUGUGUUUUUCUGUAUUGGAGGAAGAGACACUGAAAAGUGGGUAAAAUAGUAAUUCAGUCUUUGAGACGUGUGAAAUGUGGUAAACAUGAUCCCGUAGGAGUGCCUCAAUGUAAUUCAGUCUUUGAGACGUGUGAAAUGUGGCAAACAUGAUCCCAUAGGAGUGCCUCAAUGUAAUUCAGUCUUUGAGACGUGUGAAAUGUGGCAAACAUGAUCCCGUAGGAGUGCCUCAAUGUAAUUCAGUCUUUGAGACGUGUGAAAUGUGGCAAACAUGAUCCCGUAGGAGUGCCUCAAUGUAAUUCAGUCUUUGAGACGUGUGAAAUGUGGCAAACAUGAUCCCGUAGCAGUGCCUCAAUGUAAACACAGUUUUCAAGUGGUUUGGUGGCAAGGCUGGCUCUGUCAACAAUCUCCAAGGCCAUCACUGCUGCACACCUGUAUCUUCCUAGCAGAAAGAUAUCUAAGUGUUAUGGUCACCUUCAUUUCAGAGGUAAGUGGGUUGCUCCUUUCUGUGUCACUCUAUAAGGCUUCUCUUACUAGAUCGGUGACAGAGAGAAUACCUGCAUGAUCUACAUGGUAUCUUUUGAUGAGUUCUGUGUCAUAAAUUCAUACAAUAUAUCCUAUCUGGGUAAAUAAUUCCUAAGCUGGGGUGGUUGUGGGUGGCCAUCUUGGUAGCAGGAGCAUCUGUCAUAAGCUGCUAAGACAGGGUGGACUCAGUCUUACCAUCCCAUGUGGAUUUAAGACAAGAAUGCUCCAUUCUGUCCUAGCUAUGACAUAUUUCAUAACUAAGACUUGCUAGGACUGCUUCAUAACUCCUAGAAUAGAAUACAAGAAGAGGUGUAAGGCAAGGACUGUACACAUGACUUUUUUUUUUUUAAGGCUCACUGGCCAAGGGAAACAAGAGGAAAAAAGAUCCCACUGAGGGGUCAGUCCUGAAAGAGAUGUCAAGAGAAUCAUUGAAAUUUGAAGGAUAGGUGUCUUAAAACCUCCUGCUUGAAAGAGUUGAAGUCACAGAAAGGAGGAAAUACAGAAGCAAGCAGGAAGUUCUAGAGUUUACCAGAAAAGCGAAUGAAUGAUUGAGAAUACUGGUUAACUCUUGCAUUAGAGAGAUGGACAGAAUAGGGAUGAAAGAAAGAAGAAAGUCUUGUGCUGCAAGGUUGCAGGAGGAGGGGCAAGAGGAGGGGAGGCAUGCAGUUCGCAAGAUUAGAAGAGCAGUUAGCAUGAAAACAGCAGUAAAAGAUAGCAAGAGAUGCAACAUUGUGGUGAUGAAAAAGAGGCUGAAGACAGUCAGUAAGAGAAAAAUUGAUAACACAAAAAACUUUUGAUUCCACCCUGUCUAAAAUAGUGGUAUGAGUGGAACCCCCCCCCCCCCACAGUAAUGUGAAGCAUACUACAUACAUUGACGGAUAAAGGCCCAGUACAGAGUUAGCAGCUGGGGGGUGAGAAAAACUGGCAGAGAUGUCUCAGAAUGGCUAGAUUCAUAGAAGCUGUCCUAGCUAGAGAUGAGAUGUGAAGUUUCCAGUUUAGAUUAUAAGUAAAGGACAGACCGAGGAUGUUCAGUGUAGAAGGGGGGGACAGUUGAGUGUCACUGAAGAAGAGGAGAUAGUUGUCUGGAAGGCUGUGUUGAGUUGACAGUUGGAGGAAUUAAGUUUUUGAGGCAUUGAACAAUACCAAGUUUGCUCUGCCCCAAUCAGAAAAAUUUUUGAAAAAUCAGAAGUCAGAUAGUCUCUAGCUUCCCAGUGUGAAGUGUUUACUUCCUGAAGGGUUGGAUGUCUAUGAAAAGAUGUCCAAAAGUGCAGGGUGGUAUCAUCAGCUUAGGAGUGGAGAGGACAAGAAGUUUGAUUUAGAUCAUUGAUGGAUAAUAGGAAAAGAGUGGGUGACAGGACAGAACCCUGAGGAACACCUCUGUUAAUAGAUUUAGAACAACAGUGACCCUCUACCAAAGGAGCAAUAGAACAGUCAGAAAAGAAACUUGGGAUGAAGUUACAGAGGAUAGAAGCUGUAGGAAGGUAGUUUGGAAAUCAAAGCUUUGUGCCAGACUUGAUCAAAAGCUUUUGAUAUGUCUAAGGCAACAGCAAAAGUUUCACCAAAAUUCUUUAAAGAGUAUGACCAAGAUUCAGUAAGGAAAGGGAGAAGAUCACCAGCAGAGCAGCCUUGAUGGAACCCAUACUGGUGAUCAGAUAGAAGGUUGUGAAGUGAUAGACGUUUAAGAAUCUUCCUGUUGAGGAUAGAUUAAAAAACUUUAGAUAGGCAGGAAAUUAAAGCAAUAGAAUGGUAGUUUGCAGGAUUAGAAUGGUCACUCUUUUUAGGGAACAGGCUGAAUGUAGGUAAACUUCCAGCAAGAAGAAAAGGUAGAUGUUGACAGACAGAGCUGAAAGACUUUGACUAGGCAAGGUGCAAACAUGGAGGUACAGUUUUGAAGAACAAAAGUAAAGACCCCAUCAGGUCCAUAAGCCUACCGAGGGUUUAGGCCAGUGAGGGCAUGGAAAAUAUCACUGCGAAGGAUUUUAAUAAGUAGCAUGAAGUAAUCAGAAGGUUGAAGAGAGGGAGGAACAAGGCCUGAAUCAUCCAAGGUAGAGUUUUUAGCAAAGAUUUGAGCAAAUGGUCAGCUUUAGAAAUAGAUGAGAUGGCAGUGAUGCCAUCAGGUUGAAAUGAAGGAGGGAAAGAUGAAGAAGCAAAGUUAUUAGAGAAGUUUUUUGGCUAGAUGCAAGAAGUCAUGAAGGGAGUUAGAUCUUUAAAGAUUUUGAUUUUUGAAGAACAGAGUUGGUAUGGUACAGGGCAGAAAUAUAAAGUGCAUGAGAUUUUGGUGAUGGAAGGCUCAAGUACCUUUUGUGAGCCACCUCUCUAUCAUGUAUAGCACAAGAACAAGCUGUGUUAAACCAAGGUUUGGAAGGUUUAGGUCAAGAAAAAGAGUGAGGAAUGUUCGCCUCCAUGCCAGACACUAUCACCUCUGUUAUGUGCUCAGCACACAGGGAUGGUAAUAGCUCCUCAGCUCCCUCUAAUUAGCAGAGGCAAAAUGCCAGAGCCACUUUCACUUAGGGGGAUCCUAAGGAGGGAGUGGAGUGACAGGACAAGAUACAGAUAUGAGAUUGUGAUCAGAGGAGCCCAAUGGAGAAAAUAAGGUGACAGCAUAAGGAUUAGAGGUCAAGAAUGUUGGGCGUAUCUCCAAGAUGGUCAGGAAUACAAGAAGGGUGUUGCACCGACUGCUCUUGGUCAUGGAGGAUAUCAAAGUUAAUUAAAGGCCAGUUUGCCAGGAUGGUCAGUGAAGGGAGAGGAAAGCCAAAGCUGGUGGUGAACACUGAAGACUCCGAGAAUGCAGGUCUCUGCAAAAGGGAAGAGAGUCAGAAAGUGCUCUACUUUGGAAGUUAACCAACCAACAACACAAUGGGACAAAACUCCAGCCUCAGCAGCAUCUUGCACCACCACAACACAACACUCACUGAGAAUCACUUAUUACUUGUAUGAGGCAAGUGUGGACACAACAGCAACUUGUGUAAG